rnacentral:rRNA from 1 species
UGGGGAAUAUUGGACAAUGGGCGCAAGCCUGAUCCAGCCAUGCCGCGUGAGUGAUGAAGGCCUUAGGGUUGUAAAGCUCUUUCGCCGGUGAAGAUAAUGACGGUAACCGGAGAAGAAGCCCCGGCUAACUUCGUGCCAGCAGCCGCGGUAAUACGAAGGGGGCUAGCGUUGCUCGGAAUCACUGGGCGUAAAGCGCACGUAGGCGGAUCGUUAAGUCAGGGGUGAAAUCCUGGAGCUCAACUCCAGAACUGCCCUUGAUACUGGCGAUCUCGAGUUCGAGAGAGGUUGGUGGAACUCCGAGUGUAGAGGUGAAAUUCGUAGAUAUUCGGAAGAACACCAGUGGCGAAGGCGGCCAACUGGCUCGAUACUGACGCUGAGGUGCGAAAGCGUGGGGAGCAAAACAGGAUUAGAUACCCUGGUAGUCCACGCCGUAAAACGAUGGAUGCUAGCCGUUGGGGGGUUUACCUCUCAGUGGCGCAGCUAACGCCUUAAGCAUCCCGCCUGGGGAGUACGGUCGCAAGAUUAAAAACUUAAAGGAAUUGACGGGGUCAUAGCUG